rnacentral:lncRNA from 1 species
GUGCAGAGAGGACCUGUAACAUCAACAUGAAGUGGAGGUGCAGAGAGGACCUGUAACAUCAGCAUGAAGUGGAGGUGCAGAGAGGACCUGUAACAUCAACAUGAUUCAUUGACUUUUAUAAGCUGGUUGUUGCUACAUGAUCCAACAGAUCUCCUUUAGCCCUUAUAUAUAGACACUACACCGCCCAUACAAGGGCAGACACACGUGUGUGUGUGUGUGUGUGUGUGUGUGUGUGUGUGUGUGUGUGUGUGUGUGUGUGUGUGUGUGUACAUGUUUUAGUUGUAAUUUCAGUCAGCUGUGUCGUGCUAGGACAACAACCAAAACGUUGUACCCAAGAGGGGACCCCGGGACCGAGUUUGAGAAACCUGCUGUACAGCAAAACACACUGGAGAUGAAAGCAGCCGAUCCUGACUGAUUAAAGCCCAUAGAAUAACAUGUAGAACAGCUAUGACCUCUAGGACCCUGGAGCUCCAAGCCAGCGUCACUGUUCCCCUCUAAUCAGGGACUGAUUUAGACCUGGGACACCAGGUGGGUUAUUCCCCUCUAAUCAGGGCCUGAUUUAGACCUGGGGACACCAGGUGGGUUAUUCCCCUCUAAUCAGGGCCUGAUUUAGACCUGGGGACACCAGGUGGGUUAUUCCCCCUCUAAUCAGGGCCUGAUUUAGACCUGGGGACACCAGGUGGGUGAUUCCCCUCUAAUCAGGGCCUGAUUUAGACCUGGGGACACCAGGUGGGUUAUUCCCCCUCUAAUCAGGGACUGAUUUAGACCUGGGGACACCAGGUGGGUUAUUCCCCUCUAAUCAGGGACUGAUUUAGACCUGGGGACACCAGGUGGGUGAUUCCCCUCUAGUCAGGGACUGAUUUAGACCUGGGGACACCAGGUGGGUGAUUCCCCUCUAAUCAGGGACUGAUUUAGACCUGGGGACACCAGGUGGGUGAUUCCCCUCUAAUCAGGGACUGAUUUAGACCUGGGGACACCAGGUGGGUGAUUCCCCUCUAAUCAGGGACUGAUUUAGACCUGGGACGAAUGAUAAAAGGUAGGAGAGCAGCAGGGUCAGAGCUGCUCUAAGGUGUCUACGUAGUAAUCACUGAGUCAGUCAACCUGCUGUAAAAACCUUUAUAUCGUCUGUCCAACGGGCCGUUCAUCCACACACCUUCAGAUACAAUUCUAAAUCAACACCUGGAGUGUCCACACGUUUCCC